rnacentral:lncRNA from 1 species
AGGCUCGACCUCCGCUCACCUGUGACAGGGAUGUGUGACUUGUAGUACACAACAAGUACAAGUGAAGGAGUGAAUUUGGGAGGAGACUCGCCAACCUGUACAUUUACCUAAGGACGCCUGUACAAACCCGUGGAUACAAACAUUAAACCACAGAACUGAGAUCUGUGUUUGCCUGUAAGGCACAGAAGCCCUGACACAUCUGCUCUGAGCUGAAGUACGCAGCUCUGUGAGCGAGAGGAGAUGAGCAGAGCGAGAGAAUCCGCGGCUAUUGUGUGUCAAUCACAGUGUGUGUCAUG